rnacentral:lncRNA from 1 species
CAGGUGGGAUAACAGAACAUCGGCAGUGAUUCCAGAUGAGGAGGUCUUCUACCUGGUGGCGUUCCUCUCGUCGGCGCUAUCUUCCUCGGAUCAUGACAACUUGGAGCGUGCACUGAAACAGAACGAUAAGAUCUUAGACUUCUGUAACAAGGCAGGAAUCCAGAUGAAGCAAUACUUGCCACACUAUACAACACAGGAGGAGUGGAAGGCCCACUUCGGUGACAGAUGGGAGCUAUUUGCUCAUAGAAAAGGCAUUUAUGAUCCCCUGUCGAUC